rnacentral:misc_RNA from 1 species
UUUCCGUAGGUGAACCUGCGGAAGGAUCAUUCAUAAUAAAGUGUUUUAUGGCACUUUUUAAAAAUCUAUAUCCACCUUGUGUGCAAUGUUAGAUCUCGUCAAUCUUGGCGAGAUUUUUAUACAUCAACUCAUUCUUUAACUAAUUUGUCUGAAAAAUAUUAUGAAUACUUAAUUCAAAAUACAACUUUCAACAACGGAUCUCUUGGCUCUC